GCCUGUUAGCUCGGUCUCCUGAUGGCUGUCAUGGAGGUGAUUUUGAUUGCACUGGAUGUUAUUUUUUUGCUUAGGUUGUGCUGCUGCUAUUCUGUGUGCUGAUAUGUGCUCUUUUUUCGCAGGUUGGUGUUAAGUGAGCACGCAGUUUAUCAUUGUUCGUGUAUCAUCUGUUUAGUCUUCCUCUUUGCUUUGUCCGUUCUCAGCUUCAUAAUAAGUACACUAUGGAUGGCUGCCAAAUUUUUUGUUGGUCGUUCAUGUUGUUGUAAUAAGUACACUAUGGUAUGGUGAGCACGCAGUUUAUCCUAUGGAGUAAUGCACCUGGUUCCGCUUCCUCUGCUUUAAAUCGAUCUUUCGUAGGUACGAACCAUGGUCUUUAAGCUCAUGUGCUUUCACUGUUUUCUGCAGAAUACACGAUAAUUAAAACCUAUACGGCAGAUUGGACAUUCUGCUUCCACUUCUCUAAAUCAUACUACCCACCGGGCGUGGAUAUUCACCUCUACCAAUUUGAUUGAUCCUAUAUGCCAUGCUCUCAAU